rnacentral:sRNA from 1 species
CCUUAAUAUCUCAAAACUCAUCUUCGGGUGAUGUUUGAGAUAUUUGCUCUUUAAAAAUCUGGAUCAUGCUGAAAAUUGAAACACUGAACAACGAGAGUUGUUCGUGAGUCUCUCAAAUUUUCGCAACACGAUGAUGAAUCGAAAGAAACAUCUUCGGGUUGUGAGGUUAAGCGACUAAGCGUACACGGUGGAUGCCCUGGCAGUCAGAGGCGAUGAAGGACGUGCUAAUCUGCGAUAAGCGUCGGUAAGGUGAUAUGAACCGUUAUAACCGGCGAUUUCCGAAUGGGGAAACCCAGUGUGUUUCGACACACUAUCAUUAACUGAAUCCAUAGGUUAAUGAGGCGAACCGGGGGAACUGAAACAUCUAAGUACCCCGAGGAAAAGAAAUCAACCGAGAUUCCCCCAGUAGCGGCGAGCGAACGGGGAGCAGCCCAGAGCCUGAAUCAGUGUGUGUGUUAGUGGAAGCGUCUGGAAAGGCGCGCGAUACAGGGUGACAGCCCCGUACACAAAAAUGCACAUGCUGUGAGCUCGAUGAGUAGGGCGGGACACGUGGUAUCCUGUCUGAAUAUGGGG